rnacentral:tRNA from 2 species
GCGGUCGUGGCGAAGUGGUUAACGCACCGGAUUGUGAUUCCGGCACUCGGGGUUCAAUUCCCCUCGUCCGCCCCA